CAUAGGGGUGCUCCGCUAAUCUUCUCACCACGCGGGGCUGAGAUUAUACCCGUAGAACCUGAUGCGGAUAAUGCCGCCGUAGGGAACAGGGU
rnacentral:ncRNA from 1 species